rnacentral:lncRNA from 1 species
CAACCAUGCUCGCUGCAGCCAUAUGGGAGGGAAGUCCUGCUUCUCAUUGGUGGCAGUAGUUGGGGGUGCAGUAAGGGAAAGCGCCACCCUAUAGGAGCAGCCCUAGGAGCCUGUACCCUUCAAACUCUGUAGUAGGACACUGCCUUCUUACCAGCAUCACACUCUUGAAAGCAAUUAAAAUAUUGCUGAGAUUCAGUUAUUUUUGAUUAUAAUUAGUAUUUAUAAAAAGGUUUUCUUUACAUGUAGUGUUGAUUCAGAUAAUUAUGAACCAUGCUGACUAUUUUUGGGUCAAUAGCUGAGUAUGGUUUAAUUAAGCAAUUUGACAGGCUAUUACAAAUAAAACUGGUCUGAAUACAAACAUUAAAAGGAACUAAAUCCUAAAAUCUAGCAAUAUUCUAGCCACAUACCAGUCACUAUCUGGGUUUCUUUUUAUCUUUCAUGUCAUAAAAUAAUUUAACUUAAACACUGCAUUUAAAAGGACGUGCCUGCUGAUUCAUCUUUUGGUUAAUCUGGUACCAAUUACUGGCCGAGAUUUGAGAAAUUCAAUGUCUGUAUAGAUGAAAUGCUUUAAUACCUUAGAUAGUAGCUGGUUUCUGGAUUUAGCCUGAAACGGCAUGGUCAGAAAAGUUUAAAAUAUUUUUGCUAGAUUCAAAGACGAGCAAGAUUAAAAAUUCCCAAAUGUGUAUUCUGGAAUCCCUCCAAAAACAUUCCAUCUUUAUUCAUUAUUGGAUAUUGUCUUGAUUAAAAUUCCUGUUGGUUUGUUCUAUGGUUAAGUAGUAAUCUUGUCUCUUAGCAUUUGGAAUGUAUUGGUAUCAUGUGACGUGCACAGAGCCCAAAUGAAUAUAGAGAGAUCUCUUUCACAAGUCAACAAGGAGGACUUGGAGCGUUCAGAUUUCAGCGGAGCUGUCUGGGGGGAGGAGAGGGGCUCUCCGAGCCGGCACAUUCUUUCCAACAAAACAUCAAGGCCACUUGGAAGCAAGCUCUGCGGCUGAGGUGAGAAGAGAGAGGACGCUGGCCAAGGACCGGGCCCCUUGAGGUGAUGUAAGCUGUCACCACCUCUCACGUGCUGGAUGGAAAUGCAUCUGUUAGGCAAAGUCGGGCUUGGCUGAGGCAGAGCCAGGCUUUGAGGGUAAGCCCAAGUUUGGGGUGAGGUCUCAGCAGACAACACCAAGUCACUUCCCAGUCUUCCCCAGCGAGGUGGGCAAGGGUGUCACAGGCCUGCGGAUGAAGAUCUGACCCCAGGGCUCAAGUCUUCUAGGGCAAGGGAUCAGGCUGCUUUAGGGGCUGUGAAAAGGAGCCCACAGUGGAUGUUCGAUGCUUUUUCUGUGCAGCAGGAAGCGCAAUUGCCACGAUCUGAUGGUGGGGAAAGCAGGCAUGUGGCGAGGCCGAGUCAUAGGAUGCGUCCACCGGGUUUAGCCCACGAACUCGCUCCCUAGGCGUCUCACCAUCUGUAAGUAGAAAAGCUGUCCGACGCCAAGAAUCCGCCCGCUUGUUAAUGCAUGCUUUAAGAGCUUCCUCUCGUUCGCCAUCACGUGACCAGUGCCUAAAGCAAAGACUGCACAUAAACAUUUGUGAAUGAACGGGUCAGUUUCCUGCAAAUAAUAGGAAUCAACUAUCAAUGCAAUGGCCAGUGGUUUGUUUGUUUGUUUAUUUAUUUAUUUUUGACAGGCAGAGUGGACAGUGAGAGAAAGAGAGAGAGAGAGAGAGAGAGAGAGAAAGAGAAAGGUCUUCCUUUUGCUGUUGGUUCACCCUCCAAUGGCCACCACGGCCGGCGCACCGCGCUGAUCCGAAGGCAGGAGCCA